CCACAGCAAAAUAAAAAAAUUAUAAUCAAUAUUCAAUGAAUAUUUCAAUAAAUUAACAUCAUAUUUCAACAAUUUUCAACCAAAAAAAAUUGCAAAAUCAAACCUUACACCACUAAACUGAACCCACAAGCUAAAGAAUUACCAAAAAUUGAAGAACCCACACAAACUACCAAGAAGGCCACUUUUUUUUUUUUUCUAUCACUGUC
rnacentral:misc_RNA from 1 species